rnacentral:misc_RNA from 1 species
GAGAAGAACGUAGCGAAAUGCGAUAAGUAGUGUGAAUUGCAGAAUUCAGUGAAUCAUCGAAUCUUUGAACGCACAUUGCGCCUUCUAGUAUUCUGGGAGGCAUGCCUGUUUGAGCGUCAUUAAACCUCUCUCAAGUAUGAUUACUUGGAUGUGAAGGAAGAGUACCUUAAACUUAAGGAGUGUUCUCCUUUGAAAUUGAUUAGCAGAUGGUAAUGUUAUUAAAUCCCUGAUGUUGUAAGAAAUAACAGUGGUUUUGUAGACUAUUAUCUAGCUUUAAAUUAUAAUUUUUAUUAUGGUUGACCUCAAAUCAGGUAAGGAUACCCGCUGAACUUAAGCAUAUCAAUAAGCGGAGGA